rnacentral:lncRNA from 1 species
CCAUCACAGGCAUAUAAAUCAUAACUUAAGGAGCCUUUCUAUUUAUUUGUGUUAUGUAGAUCUUAAUAAUUGGUUGUUGCCUCCGGGUAUGAUAAUACCCAAAAGCAAUACUACCGGCUCUAGUCACCAACUAGUGGUGAUCGUCACAAUAUCAUCUGAUUCUGGCCAACACAACUACUAUUAUGGCUAUGUUGCCAUUGAAACGGAGAGUUAUGUAUCAAACAAAAUUAAUUCAUAUUGAGCAUUGUGAUGUUUGAUUCUAUGGUAGUGUGUACAUUUAAUUUAUCAACUACAUCCACAUGAUUUCAUGCAUGUACCAUAUAAGGGACAGUGAUUUCAUGUAUGUACGAUACAUGGUUUCAUGCAUGUACAAUAUAAUCAGAUAAAGUCAGAUUCACACAUGUACUUCCCCCAUAUGCACGACUUCUUCCAUGUACCAUAAAAUGGUUGAAAAGCAGCAUCACUUGCUUCUCACAUUUGAAUGAUUUCUUGCAUGUACCAUAUGGUCAUUGAAAAUUAGCAUCACAUUCUUCGCCCAUCCGUGUACCACAUAAUGAAAACCAACAUCACUUGAUUCUACAAUAUUCUCCACACUUUCACCCAUUAUACCUUACAAGCUAGCGUUUUUAAAGUUAAAUACAUUUAUUCAAGCCAUUACUACAAAUAUAGCAUGUACAGGUGUGUGGUAACUCAUUUUCACAAGCAUGUAGAAAUCAACAAUUUCCAUAGCAAGUAGAACGCACAUGUAAAACUAUUUCCACAUUUGGACACUUAAGUUAGCUGACAUUGUAUAUCCAUUUCCACGUGUGCACUCUUACAUCAAUUGACCAUUGAAAACAAUCCCCA